GGCUGAAACUCGCCUACAUGAAGCUGGAAUUGCUAGUAAUCACAGGUCAGCAUACUGUGGUGAAUACGUUCCCGGGCCUUGUACACACCGCCCGUCACACCAUGAGAGUUGAGAAUACCCGAAGCCCAUGUCAAAGUGGUCGAAGGUAGGCUUGAUGAUUGGGGUGAAGUCGUAACAAGGUAUC
rnacentral:rRNA from 1 species